AGGCCCCGCCCCCAGCGGAACCGCGCCGAGUGCCGCCGUGCUGGGAUGUCCUAUUGUACCCUGGGGUUCCUUUCCGGACGGGGGUGCAAAACGGAAGGGGUUUUCAAGGUAAAGCAUGAUAAAGGGACUUGCAAUGAUUAGCGCGUUUGAUUCCAGUACCUCUAAGAACUGGCGAGAGAGACAACGCGAGCCUCCCCCUGAGCGCCCAAUUGGUUUGACCCAGCCAAGAUGGCGGCCGCCGGGUUUCCCGCACUCCGCCCGCUGACGCGGCCCGUCCGUCUGCCAGCCGGCCCGCCUCGCUUGGAAAGAAGCAUGCGCGACCUGCGGAGCCGAGGAGCGGGGCAUUUUGGAAGUUGAAGUCUCCUGCUCGGGCCCCUCGUCUGGGAGGAAGGUUCCGGCGGUACAUUUUUGUCUGCUCCAACUUCGAGUCCGGAACUAGCGAGCGGAAGUUGGACCCGGGAUGGUGUGGCACCGGAGCCGAGGAGGGGGUGAUGCCGGCCUUCUGGACACGGAGACCUCAUCCCGCUUCCCAUAGGAGCCCUGUCUGAGCUGCCCAUCCGGAGUAGUGCGUUCUCGGAUGAACAUGGCAGGUAGAGGCACUCAUCCUAGAUCACACAGCCAGGAAGUGGAACAAGCUGGCUACAGUUCCGGCAUUCCCAGCAUUCUGCUCCUGGAAAUAAGUUUGGCAGGUGCCUAAAUGCAACCUCACAUGUUGGGACUUACGAACCAUCUGGAAGGAGGCACCCUCCAUUACCAGAGAGAACACAGACUGACUGAGGGUCCCUUUGGGCGGUGGCUCCUGGAGGGAAAUGUGGCCUGGAUUUCCUGGAACACGUGGAGCUGGAGUCCCAGUGCUGCAAGGAGGGAGCUGCUGGCAGCAGAGUGACACCCUGCCCCCCAACAUAACUGGGUUCUCUGGAGCAAGUGGAAACAGUCAUCGGUAUAGAGCCUUUCCGGAAGGACACACAGGAAACGGCCAGAGAGCAGUUGCCUUUGGGAAGGAGCCUGAGGGAGUCUGAACCGGGGCCCAGGAAUUUGCUGUACGUCCACGAUGGUGAUGUCCUGGAGAACACGUGGAGAAACACUGUAAUCUUUCCAAAUAAGGCGUCACAUCCCGGAGGACAAAAAAACAACAAAACCAAAGCAAAGCAAGAACAAAACCAUCAGUAGCUCCAUUCAUUCAUUCAUUUAUUCAUUCAAUAAAUAUGUCUUAGGUCCCUC